rnacentral:rRNA from 1 species
GCAGUAGCCACGGUAAUACGAAGGUCCCAAGCGUUGUUCGGAAUCACUGGGCGUAAAGGGAGCGUAGGCGGCGUGGUAAGUCAGAUGUGAAAUCCCGGGGCUCAACCCCGGAACUGCAUCCGAUACUGCCAUGCUUGAGGGUUGGAGAGGUAGCUGGAAUUCUUGGUGUAGCAGUGAAAUGCGUGGAUAUCAAGAGGAACACUCGUGGCGAAGGCGAGCUACUGGACAACAUCUGACGCUGAGGCUCGAAGGCCAGGGUAGCGAAAGGGAUUAGAUACCCCGGUAGUCCCUGUCUCUUAUAC